UCCGAGUUGACCCCGGCAGUCUCCUAUGAGUCCCCGGCUUGAACCGCUGGCAACAUAGGACAAGGGUUGCGCUCGUUGCGGGACUUAACCCAACAUCUCACGACACGAGCUGACGACAACCAUGCACCACCUGUCACUCUGCCCCCGAAGGGGACGUCCUAUCUCUAGGAUUGUCAGAGGAUGCCAAGACCUGGUAAGGUUCUUCGCGUUGCUUCGAAUUAAACCACAUGCUCCACCGCUUGUGCGGGCCCCCGUCAAUUCCUUUAUGUUUUAGUCUUGCGACCGUACUCCACAGGCGGGACGCUUAACGCGUUAGCUUCGCUACAAGAAGGGUCGAUACUUCUUACAGCUAGCGUCCAUAGUUUACGGCGUGGACUAC
rnacentral:misc_RNA from 1 species